rnacentral:rRNA from 1 species
CGUGUAGGCGGGCAAUCGAGUCAGAUGUAAAAGGCGACGGCUUAACCGUAGUAUGUCAUCUGAUACUGGUUGUCUUGAGUUCGAGAGAGGGUGGUGGAAUUCCCGGUGUAGCGGUGAAAUGCGUAGAUAUCGGGAAGAACACCAGAAGCGAAGGCGGCUUUCUGGGGUACUACUGACGCUGAAGCGCGAAGGCUAGGGGAGCAAACA